GCUUGCUUUAAAACUGAAGAUAAUUAUAAACAGAUAUUAGGGAAAUGGUGCCAAAAGAACCUCAGCAAAUUGUUCACUGAUUCCUUGACUACAAUUCUCAAAACCACAUUUAAUCUCCUUUGAAGAGAAGAAUUGACAUUUUUAAUUUUUUUUUCUUUUUUUUCUUUUUUUUUUUUUUGGUCUGGUUAAAGACUGGAUUUAGAAUGGUGGUUGCUAAAACAAAAGAAACUUAAAUAUGACUUGAUUACAAUCUGAAACAGCACCUACAGAGCCUGAUAGAAGAGGUUCACUGACUCUGAAGCAAAGAGAAUGAUUGUCUGGCAGUUGGUGAUAAAAAAAUUAAAUUUAAACAUAAAUCAUAAAUGAGAAUAAUUAACUACUAAAACAAUCUGUCAGAGGGUUUUUUUUUAGUUGUUUUUUUUCCCAACAGAUAACAAGGUUUUCUUUAGUGGAAGUUUUCCUUUUUGCAGUGAUUGAUAACUUUGUGGAAAGAUAUUUAGAAAAUGUUCAUUCCUUUCCCCACAUUUGAAUUUUUUUAAAGGUAUGUUUAAUAUUAUCCUUCUUUUGCAAAAAAUGUUAUCAGUUAAAGAUUAGGUACUUAACACCCAAUCCCCAUGCUCUUGUAUUUAAGAUUGGUUGAAACUCUUAUGCAAUAGCUUGAGACUUUCAGUUCUCAAUCUCAGAUGAAGAAAAAGGGACUCAGAUAUGUUCAUUUAAGAUUUCUUCUAAGGGAUUUUUUUUUCAACCAGCUGUAAUCUGCAUCACCUGGAAUUUCCACCUCAAGGACAGACCACUUUCUAAAACACAGGAUAAAGUUCAACUGAAAAUUUUUAUAUUUGAGAUGAGAACAUAAGGAUGAAACUCUUUGAUGCUGAAGGGGAACCAGCAGCUUACAAUGUGAGACUAUUCCACACCUGUGGAAGAGGAAAAAGACUAGGACUGGAACAGUCUGGAUGCAUCUGUGGACAAGUGAAAGGAAAAUUAAGAAAAUAAAACAUAAGAAAAAAGUGCUAUUAACCACUCCUUGUUGGAAAGGAAGUGAGAAUUGAACAGAUGAACGUGACGUGCUUUGGAAAUGAGCCUGGGGGUGUAGAGACGGUUUCAUUUUUGUUUCAUAAAAAAGUUCUCCUUUUUUUUACUUUUUCUUUUUUUUUUCUUCAGCAGAAAGGGCAUUUUCUGUAAACACUUAAAUUUGUGCCAGCCAAAGGGAAAACAGAACUGUGUGUGCCUGAUAGGAGGGAGAAAUUCUAACCCAUGCAUUGUGAAUUGAGAGCCCUGGGUUGCCUGAGGUAUUUAGAGAGAGUUGUGGCUGGUGCUGUAAACAAGUGGAAUCUGUAACUGAGUUUAAAGGACUCUCAGUCAGACUUAUCCAGUGCUGACAA
rnacentral:lncRNA from 1 species